GAUGAAGAACGCAGCGAAAUGCGAUAAGUAAUGCGAAUUGCAGAAUCCGUGAGUCAUCGAAUCUUUGAACGCACAUUGCGCCCCUUGGUAUUCCGAGGGGCAUGCCUGUUCGAGCGUCAUUAUAACCCCUCAAGCUCAGCUUGGUGUUGGGGCCUGCUGCACUGGCAGCCCUUAAAAUCAGUGGCGGCGCCAUCUGGCUCUAAGCGUAGUAAUUCUUCUCGCUAUGGAGUCCUGGUGGAUGCUUGCCAUCAACCCCCAAUUUUUCUAUGGUUGACCUCGGAUCAGGUAGGGAUACCCGCUGAACUUAAGCAUAUCAUAAGCGGAGGA
rnacentral:misc_RNA from 1 species